rnacentral:lncRNA from 1 species
GUUAGAAUAGAAAAAACGUAGAAUGCAGGAGGAAAGGUGCAGUUGUAGUUAAUCUGCUAAAUUAGUGAAACUAAUUUCACUCCCCAAGAUGAGAGUGCCAAGGCAGUGGGAAAGUGGUAAGAAAAGUCCUUGUAGCAGUAGCUGUUUAAGGUAAGAGCUAGUUUAAUGUGAUGAUUGGAAAAUAUGUAAAAAUCUUGAAGGACAGUCACAGAGGUAGCUUUUUAUAGUGUUUUGGAUUACUGUAAUAUUGAUUAUUCUUGUACAGAAAAGUUGAAUAAUAUUUAAUGAUGAGCGUCUUGUGCUAAAUGCUAUAAAAGGCAGGAACAACUAUUAUGAUUUUGUAAUAACUCAUAAUACUCUGUCUUCUGUGCUCCAUCCCUUUGCUCUAAAUGGUGAAUCCCUGAACAGACAGCUCCUUUGGGUGCAUUCCUUGCAGCAGCUUCCAAGUGCUGUCAUGACCUGGCGCAACAGAGAAAAAGGGCAUCUGCUGGGUCCUAGUCCCACUAAGUAAAGAGGAGGAGUGGAUUAGAGUUGCUUCUUCAUGGUGAGAGAAUCCAGUCAGAAGAUGGGAUUGACAGAGAUGAUGAUGAGCUUUUGCUGAAGAACCUCAGCAUGUUUCAUUUGAUGUGUGUUACCUCCUUGGGAACAUGUUUCUUCUGAUUUUGGUUAAUAAGAAAGUAGACAAAUUCCUAUUUCUGACCUGUUUUGCAGCUGUUCUCAAGUUGUCAGAAAAUGGCUGAGGGACACAGAAAUAUUUUUCUUCACUUCCUAUGAGCAGAUGAUGAGACUGGCUCUUAAUACAAUCAGGAGAUCUCUGAAAAGCAGGGGUAUUUAGUCCACUGCUAAAUGCAUCAAGAUGGGAAAAGAAGAAGGUGGAAAAAGUCAGACAUGCAUUUGGGGCUACAAAUGGCAGCUAAAAGACAUUUGGAGCUUCCAAACACUUUUGCAGACGUGCUGGAAGUGACAUUCAUGCCAAGUUAUUGAAUGUAAAAGCAGUGCAGUGUGAUCCAGGGUUGUGACUCGAAGGUUUCAACUGCCAGAAAAGUGGAAAAAGCCCGAAGCAAG